rnacentral:rRNA from 1 species
CACGUAGUUAGCCGUGGCUUAUUCAAGGGGUACCGUCUUCUGCUCUUCCCCCUUAAAAGAAGUUUACAACCCGAAAGCCUUCUUCCUUCACGCGGCGUUGCUGGGUCAGACUUGCGCCCAUUGCCCAAUAUUCCCCACUGCUGCCUCCCGUAGGAGUCUGGGCCGUAUCUCAGUCCCAAUGUGGCCGGCCAACCUCUCAGUCCGGCUACUGAUCGUCGCCUUGGUGGGCCGUUACCUCACCAACUAGCUAAUCAGACGCGAGGCCAUCUUCCAGCGAUAAAUCUUUGACGUCGGAGUCAUGCGGCUCCAACGUAUCAUGCGGUAUUAGCAGUCGUUUCCAACUGUUGUCCCCCUCUGGAAGGCAGGUUCCUCACGCGUUACUCACCAGUCCGCCACUAAAGCAUUCCCUUCCGUUGUCCGAAAACUCCUUCAGGGGUGCUCCGUUCGACUUGCAUGUGUUAAGCACGCCGCCAGCGUUCGUCCUGAGCCAGGAUCAAACUCU